rnacentral:rRNA from 1 species
CUACGUGCCAGCAGCCGCGGUAAUACGGAGGGUGCAAGCGUUAAUCGGAAUUACUGGGCGUAAAGCGCACGCAGGCGGUUUGUUAAGUCAGAUGUGAAAUCCCCGCGCUUAACGUGGGAACUGCAUUUGAAACUGGCAAGCUAGAGUCUUGUAGAGGGGGGUAGAAUUCCAGGUGUAGCGGUGAAAUGCGUAGAGAUCUGGAGGAAUACCGGUGGCGAAGGCGGCCCCCUGGACAAAGACUGACGCUCAGGUGCGAAAGCGUGGGGAGCAAACAGGAUUAAAUACCCUGGUAGUCCACGCUGUAAACGAUGUCGACUUGGAGGUUGUGCCCUUGAGGCGUGGCUUCCGGAGCUAACGCGUUAAGUCGACCGCCUGGGGAGUACGGCCGCAAGGUUAAAACUCAAAUGAAUUGACGGGGGCCCGCACAAGCGGUGGAGCAUGUGGUUUAAUUCGAUGCAACGCGAAGAACCUUACCUACUCUUGACAUCCAGAGAAUUCGCUAGAGAUAG